CAACGGAUAAAAGCUACCCUGGGGAUAACAGGCUUAUCUCCCCCAAGAGUCCACAUCGACGGGGAGGUUUGGCACCUCGAUGUCGGCUCAUCACAUCCUGGGGCUGUAGUAGGUCCCAAGGGUUGGGCUGUUCGCCCAUUAAAGUGGUACGCGAGCUGGGUUCAGAACGUCGUGAGACAGUUCGGUCCCUAUCCGUCGCAGGCGUAGGAAAUUUGAGAAGACCUGUCCUUAGUACGAGAGGACCGGGAUGGACGUACCUCUGGUGUACCAGUUGUUCUGCCAAGGGCAUGGCUGGGUAGCUAUGUACGGAAUGGAUAAGCGCUGAAAGCAUCUAAGCGCGAAGCCAACUUCAAGAUAAGAUUUCCCACCGCAAGGGUAAGACCCCAGAAAGACUAUCUGGUUGAUAGGUCGAAGGUGUAAGUGCAGCAAUGUAUUUAGCUUAUCGAUACUAAUAGGUCGAGGACUUGACCAAU
rnacentral:rRNA from 1 species